CAGCAGAGAGCAGAGGUCCGUGGCCCGCUAGCCGUUUACAGGUGGUGGAUGAAAGUAAAUCUGGCAACGGUUACGAGUUGCGACACCAUUUCAUGUUGACAAGCCGAGAAACGAGUUGUAUCAAACUGAAACUGAAACAUUGAAUUGAUCUCGUUUUUUUGAGAAAUACGCCAGAAACAUUAAGGUUUCACACAUCAGUGGGGCUGUUCAUGUUAUUCGUAACCAAAAUUGCUGGUGUCAUGAGACCUGUGGAACGACUGCUGGCCUCCUCAGCAAGACCGCCCAACAUUCUAAUAUGUACGAGUGACAGAGAAGUAUUUCAACAAUAUCGAGCCCUCUUUGAAUCCACACUAGAGCCGGAUUGUUAUGCCCUUUACCAUCUCGAUGAACUCUCAUUUCGUUCUAAAAGAGCUUGGCUAAGCAACACAAGCCUCCUAGUACUUGCUUCUCGAUGGUCUGAUAAUGACUUGCACGAUCCGCUGGAAGAGUACAUCAAGAAGGGUGGUCAAUGUCUUUCCCUACACCCUUUUUCUCCAAAAUGGCUGAAUGGAACCCAAGUGAAUGGCGUUACAAAGUACGUAUCUGAUCAAGGCUUACUAGUCUCACCAGUCGACAAGCUUGAUUUCGCUGAAGUACUUCCGCAUAUUCUAGAACUUCACUUCCACAUUAAGACACAAGUCAGAAGUCAACAGGAGGCUCGUGUUGAAUCACAGCAAAUGAUUGGCCAUUUAAUCGCUGAACCUUAUCACCAAGAAGCUUUUUUCCGUAAUUUUGGCCGACAGUCCCCUGAUAUGAUGACUGUUGAGCUCACCAAGUCAUUUUCGACAAACAAGCAAGAACUACCGAUAAAUAUUCGCAGAAACCAAAGCUCAAGAUUUAACCAACGCGAUUAUUUUGAUAUGCUGAAGACCAAAGUCUUGGGUCGAACAGGCCUGUAUUUCGAUGUGGUUGGAUCUACCCACUCGGUUUUGGAGGGAUGUGAUUCAUUUCCAGAUGGUUUGGUCGUGAUUGCCCGACGUCAGAGUCAAGGUCGAGGACGAAGUGGUAAUGUCUGGAUGAGUCCUGAAGGUUGCGCCAUGUUCUCCUUGCGGAUGCGGUUUCCUUUGCAGUCGGAACUCGGAAGGCACUUGCCUCUUCUUCAACACAUUGUUGCAUUGGCAAUAGUAUUAGCAGCUAAAGGUCUCCCACACUGCCACGAUUUGCAGCUGGGAGUAAAAUGGCCCAACGAUGUCUACCAUCAAGAUGUCUCUCGAAAAAUUAACACUAAAAUUGGGGGUGUUUUAGUGACCACUUCCAUAAUGGGAUCAAUAGUCGUAGCAGCCAUUGGUUGCGGUGUAAAUCUGAACAAUCAACGACCGACGUUGUGUCUUAAUGAUCUCAUCCGCCAGGAAAGUGAUACGAUAAAUGAAGAUUCGCGAGACGGAGGUUAUUAAGGGGUGACUGACCCAGAUCGAGAUCCUUUUUUUUUUUGUAUUCACUUCCUCGUUAGUUUGGGUUGUCGUCUAUUGUUUGGUUUUCUCGAGCACUGAACUGCGUAUAUCACUUAAGCUUGUUGCCCUGAAACUUUUUUUCCAAUAGAGUCUAAAAGUACGAAAUCAAAAUAUGGUCCAUUUCUGGGUUCGUGCUUUUUGCUAGCAGUCACACUUUUGGAGCACUGUACCAAUACCAAACAAAACUUAAUCAAUACAUCAGCAAGUUAGGUACGCGAAUAGUAACAUAAUGAACAUAAUAUUCCCCACGUCUUUGCUGAUUGUCUGCUCCGUAAUCAGCAACUACCCGAUCGAAGCCUCGCGUCCCGUAAGCGUCAUCGCUCACAUGGUCAACACACCAAAUUCUAUACGAUGGGCUUUGGAUCAAGGCGCUAAUAGUAUCGAGAUUGAUUUGAAGUUUGACGGCACUCACCCCAGUAAAUUCCAUCACGGCUUCCCUUGUGACUGUAGUUGCCUAUUGGAUUUUUCAACAUUUCGACACAACGGAUGCAAAGUUCUCGGUGAAGAUUGUUCAGCCUCCACCUCCGUUGCGGAAAUGAUUAAGUUCUUGUCUAGUCAUGAGAUUAUCUCUUCACGUCUGGCAGUUAUUUACGUCGAUGCGAAACUUGACAAUUCAGUGGGAAAUUACGCCGAGGCGGGGGCCAAUGUAGUGCGACUAUUUAACGAAAAAGUUUUAGCGAGGGGAUUCCGCGGUCAAAUUCUUCUCGGUUGUCUGACUAUCUCACGAGUCGAUUACCUGCGUGGUGCCCUACAAGAAGCCUCUAAAUCCAAAUACGCGGAUCGUUAUUUCUACACCAUUGACAAUGAGGGGAGAAGAGCAAAUCAAGUGUUGAAGCUUUCGCUUGAAUUGGAGACCAAAAAUAUCGUUUACGAUACUGGAAUAUCUGCUUGUUUUCAUAUGUUGCCAUCAGCAUUUGACGAUGCCAUUCAAUACAGCCUAGAUGCAGAGGCGUACGCUGCAGUAGGCGUGUGGACUGUCGAUCGAAAAUCCACCAUGGCUCAUUACCUGGAAGCAGGUGUAGAUUU